CUCUUUUAAACAGGACCCUCCACUUUUCCACCAGUUUGUCCACCGGUGAAAAGGAGAAGCCAGCCAAGAACCAGCUUCUGGCUACCUUGAUCAGAAGGUUGAUGAAGGCAAUGAAACAAAGAUGGAAAAACACAUCACACAGGCCCUUACCAGAUGCCAGCAUCUUGAUAUUGGACUUCCCAGCCUUCAGAACUAUAAGGCUCCAGUCAAGCAACCCACCUUAUCAAGUGGACCAGGCACAGCUCCUACUUAUCCCUGAGUAGUGGGUAUCAGUUUCCUGCUAACCUCGGAAUUGUUCAAAGCCCAUCACAUUCUCCUGCAGGAACCAGGGAGCACCUCACCCUCUUGUUGCUACAAAGCUUGCCACCCACAGCCCCUGCCUGUUCACCCUGCUCCUGAGGGCAACCCCUGUAUGGCCAGCAUCCCAUGCUGUGUUCACCUCUCCCAAGCUGCGAGUGUAUGUGAAUAAUAACUGCCGUCAAUCGCAUCUGUUAAGCAUCGAGUGUAAUGUGUUUGGUCAUCCUCAUAAUUCUAGUGUGGAAUGUCUCCCUCACCAAUGGGGUGAACAGGAGGGAAUGAAAACAAUGUGUAAAAUAUUUAGACACCGCAAGAUACAUAUUUAGAGCCUGGCAAAUGUUAGUUAAGGCCAUUAUUGCUAUUAUUUUGCAAAAGGAUAAUAAUUUGGUUUUCUUUUAACAAAAUUUGUUUGGGCAGAAUGCUUAGCUCAUAGUGUUAUUCUUAGGUUCCUCCAAACAGCUUUUCUGGAAUUUUGUUUCCCUCAUUAGCAAUUACAAAGAUAUGCUAAUGCUCUGCACCAAGUGGCAGCUACAUGCUUGAGACCAACACUGAAAAUCAGUCAUGGAAUCACUGCAUAUCUGAACAAGGGCCACGAGAGGAGGCACAGAUGGGUCAACUGACUUGAGCAGAGCCACCCAGCAAAUUCAGCGUCGGAGUAUGCUUCCCUUGCCUGAGAAUCGUUACAAAGAGGAGCAUCUGAUGAGGAAAUGAGAACUCCAGCCAGAAACCAGCAAUAAAUUGAGGGCUCCUAUAUGAGCAAUGCAUUCUCCAGCCCCAAUCAAGCCUUUGGAUAACUGCAGCUCCUGCCAGCAUUUUGACUGCACUUCAUGAAACACUUUGAGUCAGAGCCACCUACCUAAGCCACUCCAAAAUUCCUGACCGUCAAAAACUUUGAGAUAAUAAAUGCUUGUUGUUUUAAACUACUACCUCUUAAGGUAGUUUUUAAUAUAGCAGUAGAUUACUAAUAUAAGGCACUACUAUAUUCUCAAAAACUUCUGAGAAUCUUACCCCAAACCACCAGCUUUAUUACUAUCAGGGUAUCAUAAUGACAGGUUGUAAGUUUACAACCUGUAUUAGUCUAGUUAACGCUUGUGUUAAUCAGGCUAGUUAACACUAGCCACUGUAACAAACAAGACCCCCCACCCUCGCCCCCGCCAAAUCACAGUGGUUUUACAGAGUAAAAGCUCAGUUCUCCUUUGUGAGAAGUCCAGUUUAGCUAAAACAUCUGGGCAAAUUGUAGACCAAGAUCUCUGAGGAGGGGAGGGAGGAAUGGAAGAAUUGACUAUCUUGGUCAGAAAAUGCCACACAUCAUUCAUGCCCACACCCUGUUGGCCCAGAUCAAUCACUGCCACCAACCUAACUACCUGGAAGGCUGCUGGGAAAUGUGGGGGAGUCCCAGGAAUAUUUGACAACUCCUAUUGUCACUGCCACACAACCCUACUUGGGUUUUCUAAUUUAAAAGCCAGAAAAUACAUGGCUUUAAAGAGAUAUGUAAUCCAUGUUUGUGCUUCCUGCACCAGCCUGGGGAUUUAAAUGAGAAGCAUAUUCAUCGUAAUAAACAUUAUUCUUCAGAUUGUAUCAAUAAUUAUUAUUGCUCCCUGUCAAAUCCCCAUCUUAAAUUGCUUUUCUGGGAAUCCCCAGGGAAUGUCUCCUGGGCAUUUGAGACAAACGUAAUCAGAUACCACAAGGAGUUGCCUUUUCCUUCUUCUCUCCUUUUGGGCAGUGUCCAUUGCUGCACUCUCUGCCAAUGACACUAUGAGCAGAAGUCUGCCUGUCGGUGAUGAGCAAGCACUGUGCUUCCAGCACAAUACAAACAGACUGAGCUCCCUGAGAGAUGGGAUGACUGCGUCUCUCCCGCUUGUGUCUUACUUGGUCCUCUGGAACCGAAAGCUAAGCUUUAAGUAGAAACAGCUCUUCAGGGCUCACACAUAAGUCUGUGGUCAGAGUCAUUCUCUAAAACAAAGAUGGCGCUGGGCACUCACUCCACCGCCUGCUCCCACCCACCCUCUGUGGUGCAUUUCUUCCACCCUCUCCUCUUGCCAUCCCUCCACUCAUGAGCAUCCUAUAAGCACCUUUAUCACAAGUCUUAUAAAGAGAAAAGACAUCUGAAGAAUGGUGGAGUUCAUGCUGGUGGAUGAUACAAGAAUGCUAUAGUUCUGCGUCAUUAGAUUUAUGGCUGCUAGGAAUACACUGCCUGGCUAUUAGAGAUGAGAAGCUAUUUUAAAUUAUGUUGUAUUUUUCAGCCUUUCCUCAAGCUUGUCCUUAUUGAACUUUCCCACCUUUCCCCUCACUUUUCAAGAGAUUUUCAAAUAUACUCGUUGAGCACAUUGUGACUGCACACCUAACAUGUGCGUAAUUCUGGGACAUAGAACUCCCUAAAAGUGUGAACUUCCACCUGAACCCACCUUCUCUUUUGUAGGAUUUUCCAAACUUCCCCAUUGUUUCCUUUCCUAAAUAAAAUAGUUUGGAAAAAAAAGUUAUAAAUAUUUCUCAGACUUCCUGGAAAUUUUAUUUAGCAUUUUGAUAAGUGAAGUGUAAAGAAGUUGAAAUAUGCAGAUCAAAUUUCCGUUAAAAUACACGAACCCUCAUAUGAAUGAGAGGAAACGUGCUUUGCAAAACCAUGGUUUUGGUUUUUCUGAACCAAAGAUACUUGAAAAAAAUAGUUUGAGACAUUCAGCAAUUCCACAGUGUGGCUGGGCUCACCCAUCCCUAAUUUCAAGGGACAUUAAAUCCAUCUGUUUCUCAUUCAUUGAUUCUCAGCUCACCAAAAUGCUAUUUGGCAAAUGUGAUGGGACGUCCAGGAAGCUGUGCAGGCUGUUUUUAAGCCAUGUUGUUCUCAACUGCGAAGUGGGCUUGGCCAACGUUCCCUUGGAUCAGCUUCUUUAUCUUCGAUAUGGUACUUGCAAAGUCCUAUCGGAUUUGAAACUCUCUGAAGUCAACUUAUAGAUAUAUAAGGGCUCUGGCAGCUCAAUGGGUCCAGUCCCCUGCCUCAGGGUGGAUUUAUAUCCGAGUUGUUGUGACUCCAGUUUAGUUUUGUCUUCAUUGCUCACCUGUUCUUGUGAUCAACAACUUUCCUGCUCAGGAAACUCCUCCUUAUAUCUCUCCUGAAAGGCUCCUGUACUGUAGUGGACACUGUUAAUGCAUCAUGCAGCUCUCCUAGGAGAGCCUUUGCUGGGUCUCUGUCCCCAUCACUCAACUUCUGCAAGACUUGCUGCAACAAGCUAGCACAUGGAGCUCACAACUCUGAAGCCCUGGGUUAUGUUAUCCUUAUUCCAGGAGAGGGGUCAGGAGUCUCUCACUCCCACUUGGUCAAGGAGAUGGAAAUGUUGACAGGUGAUAUGGUUUGGAUUCCUGUCCUUGCCCAAAUCUCGUGUGGAAUUGUAAUCCCCAGUGUUGGAGGAGAGGCCUGGUGGGAGUGACUGGAUCACAGGGGCAGGUUUCCCCCUUGCUGUUCUCAUGAUAGCGAGUGAGUUCUCACUAGACCUGGUUGUUUAAAAGAGUGUAGCCCUUCUCUUUUCGAUCUCUUCCUCCUGCUCCAGCCAUGUAGGACGUGCCUACUUCCCCUUCACCUUCUGCCAUGAUUGAAAUUUUCCUGAGGCCUCCCAGCCAUGCUACCUGUCCAGCCUGCAGAACUGUGAGCCAAUUAAACUUCUUUUCUUUAUAAAUUACCCAGUCUCAGGUAAUUCUUUAUAGCAGCAUGAGAAUGGAAUAAUACGACAGGCCUGCACGAAGGAGCUCCAGAUUCAGCUCUACCUUUCAUCUCACUGACAGCUGUCAUGCUUUAGUUUAAAUGAAUUUCCUCGAGUUGCAGGGAUAUCUGAACAACGCUCCAUAUUUCUGAUAGUCAGAGAUCACAAAAGCACAACAAAACCCUAGAUGCUCAUAGCCUGGUUGUCUCAUAGCUCUGGCUCUGACACUAGGGAAACGUAUGAGGCUGCUUCUGCUCACCUGUGACUCCCCCAGUGGGAGAAUGGAGGGAGGUGGCAAAGUAAUGACAGUCAGCAUUCUUGGCAAACAACCCACAGAGUGGGCACUGCCAAUGCUGGGUUAGUAGGCAAAGGAUUAUAUGUGUUUUCAGGGAAGUAUGCACAGAGCAGACCACCAACUCCUGGGUAAAUCCCUGACACAUGGCAAGUGCUCAAUCAACAAUGUUUGAUGUUGAACCAGUAAAGCCCUCCAUAAAGUGUGGCAAAGCAGGAAGAUUUCCUCACUCAGAGGAUUAUAAUUCCUCCAAGGAGAAGCCACAGAGCACAGUGCUUAAGAGUUUGGGAUGCUUAGGUUUGAAUCCACCUCAUCUGCUCAUCAGCUGGGUGACCUUGGGCAAGUCCCAUAAACUUUCUGGGCUUUUGUUUUGACAUUUGUCAAUAUGAGAUAGUAAUAGUACCUGCUUUUGUAUCAAGGAUUAAAUGUGUAAAUUCAUGUACAGCUGUAAGAACGGUACCCAACACUUAGUGUGUGCUUUGUAAAUGCCAGAUGUGAUUGUUAUUAGCAACCUCACAGAGUAUUAAUGUCGCGUCAGGGGAAGUUCCGGGACAUGACACAGCUCUAAAAGCAUGAGAGAGGUAAUGUUAAUCACACCCGAGAAGAGAAUUCAUAAAAUGCUCCUCGGCUUCAUCAUUUGGGGAUUGAAUAAUCGUAGUCUGAAGCUUCUCUUAAGUGUGGAACUCAGACCAUCAGCAUGGGUAUCACUUGGCAGCUUGUAAUACAUGUGGAAACUUAGGAAACUCCCAAAUCUAAUGGAUCAGAAUUCCAUUUCAACUAGCUCCCUAGUGAUUAGCAUGCACAUUAAUUUUAAAAUCCAAUUUAUUGUGGUAAAAGUAAGAUAAAGAUCUAUUUAAACUGUCCUGGUUGAUGUGCUUUGAGUGAUGUAUAAACCUGUGAAUCGUCGUUGCAACUAAGAUUCAGAACAUUUUCAUUGCUCCCAGAGUUUGCUCAAGGUCCUUUCAGUCCAUUUCUCCCUCCACUCCUGACCCCAAGCAACUUCUGAUUAACUUUCUGUGCAUGAAAUCAUACAGUAUGUACUUCUGGCUCAUUUUGCUCAGCAGAAUGGCUUUGAUGUUCAUCAUAUUGUUUUUCUCAUCAGUAGAUCAUUGAUUUUUCUUGUAUUCCAUUGUAUGGGCAGACCAUAUUUUUUUAUCCAUUUACCGAUUGAUAGAUGUAUG
rnacentral:lncRNA from 1 species